GACGAACGCUGGCGGCGUGCUUAACACAUGCAAGUCGAACGGAAAGGCCCUGCUUGCAGGGUACUCGAGUGGCGAACGGGUGAGUAACACGUGGGUGAUCUGCCCUGCACUUCGGGAUAAGCCUGGGAAACUGGGUCUAAUACCGGAUAGGAGCCAUUUUUAGUGUGAUGGUUGGAAAGUUUUUUCGGUGUAGGAUGAGCUCGCGGCCUAUCAGCUUGUUGGUGGGGUCAUGGCCUACCAAGGCGGCGACGGGUAGCCGGCCUGAGAGGGUGGACGGCCACAUUGGGACUGAGAUACGGCCCAGACUCCUACGGGAGGCAGCAGUGGGGAAUAUUGCACAAUGGGCGCAAGCCUGAUGCAGCGACGCCGCGUGGGGGAUGACGGCCUUCGGGUUGUAAACUCCUUUCGCUAGGGACGAAGCUUUUUGUGACGGUACCUAGAUAAGAAGCACCGGCUAACUACGUG
rnacentral:rRNA from 1 species